AAGGAUGUCAUGCCCCUUUUAUAUUUUAAUCUGCUCCUCUCCCCUUUCUUCCAUGUAAGAACGUAGGAGCUGCUCGGGAUCAUGCCCAGGGCCCUGGUAGUCCGGCCUUCUGUUCCCAAAGGGGCUGAUGGGAUGCUUGUGGGAAGUGUUCCAGAAGGACACUUGGGCAGGCAUGUCCUCACUUUGCUUGGCAACUGGUUUCCAGAGCUCUGCUGCUUCUGAUUUGGGGAGGACGAGGCUAUCAGUGGCUGCUAGUCACGAAGGCCCUGGGCCGCUUCCAGCAUCAGGGACAGUUUGCCUGUGUGCACCAGUUGCUAGAGAACAGAGGUGGGAAAUUGCCAUGGCCCUUACGUCCUUCCUGUGGCCUCCCUCAGACUGCCUUAUUGUCCACCAAACAUAAUGCUGGACUACAUAGAUCUGUGGUCUGAUCGUGCAUGGUUCUUGGCAACUGCCAGGUUGUCCUAACUGUUAGGCUUUGAUAAGGCUCAUCUUCCAUGUAUUUCCUUAAUCCCCUUUUAAAGCCAUUCAAGUUGAUGGCCAUCACUACAUCCUGUGGUAGUGAAUUCUGCACCCAAGUAUUGAUUGGUGCCACUCCAAAACUAGGAGCCAUCGUUUUUCUUUGAGACUUCCAUUUUGGGAAAUAGUGGUUAGAAUGUUGGAUUGGAACUUGAAGAGAUGUGGGUUCCAGGCUACGCUUGGCCAGGAAGUUCACCGGGUGACUUUGGGCCAGUCACAAAGUCUUAGCCACACCUACAUUAUAGGUUGUUGUUGAGAGUUUAAAUUUAAGUUUAAGUUUGUUGAGUGUAGGAGUACCUUGUAAGCUGCUUUAGGUUCCUUGCAAGAGGAAGAAAAACAUUAUACAUAUAAUGCAAUCAGUUCUUUUUUUCUUGAGACAUGUAUUAUUAACAUAAUACUUUAAGACUAGUCUAUACCAAAAUACUUGGGAGUAAGCCCCAUUAAACUCAGUGGGACUUCUAAUGUAUUUUCUGAGGUACAUUAGGCAUUAGCAUUGAUUGAUUUGUAUUCCACUUUGGGAUUUCUUCAUUGAGAAGUGGUCUAUAACUCUGAAAUAAUACAGGAUUCUACUGCAAAUCCAGUCCUCUGUGCCACUGAAGACGCUUUGGGCUUCAGGGCUUAUGGCUUGAAGGUGUGAGGAACUGAUGGCAAGGCAAGAACAUCCUGCAUGCUUAAUUGAAUGCUCCAUCGUUCCAUCUCUGAAAGGAGCAACGGCGGUAUCUAGGACAGGGACCAGCGUCUCUGAGGUCUCCAUUCUGCAAGCUCUUAAGAACGUGUCCUAAGUAUGCUUCAGCCUCCAGGACUUUCAGAAGAUGGCAGCGCUUGAAAUGGAGAAAGCUUCGAAGGACCAGGAAUUGGCAGAAAAUGGAUUUCCAGAUGUUUGGGACUUCGACUCCCAGAAGUGCCUUCCUGAAUGGCCAGUGGUCAAGAGCAUCUUCAUUUUUCUUGAUAAAAUAAAUUAUUUUAAUUUGGAUGCUGUGGGUUCUGCAUUGACGACUUCUUCACAGGCACCGUUGGAGGCAUAUUCUUUAAAUUAGACAGCUCUAUGCAUGGCAUAUAAAGCCAUGCAUAUAGUGGAAUUUUUUAAAAAUAAAAUAUUGUAGGGAGCCCUGGUGUACAUAA